ensembl:lincRNA
AAAUGUUAUUUUAUAAACAAAAAAAUCAUAUAAAAAACUCAAGGAUUUUAGAUCCUGAUGAUCGUUAAACGCGUCAUAACAGUGUUGUGAAAAGGGUGUAAUUGUUAAAAAUAGGUACAAACAUCAGAUAUAAACAAAAACCUAAACAAACACUUCUAUGUGCAUAACGUCAUAAAAAUACUUGUUUUAUUUACCUCGCGCUGCUGUCCUUGUACUGCCGUGAACAGGAAAUUCUGGGAAUGGAGGACGGAGAGUUGAGUCGAUUCGUCUUCAACAAACCGAUCAGUGUGACAUCAAAACAUCGCGAGAACAACAGACAGCUCCGUGUGCAUUUGAAUCCAUCUCGCGAUAUUGUAUCACUUCAGGUACGCGCCUACUGAUUCGUUGAUUCAAACGAGUUGUGAAUCAAGAAGCCUCUAAAGAUCCGAAUCAAACUGCAGCAGCACGCCACGAGGUUUUGCUCAGACUUUUGGGACGUUUGGAAUUGCUCCGUCUUGUCACCAUGUAACACAUAGCAGCAAGACCCAUGGGAUUUCAUCAGCCACUCACCAUCAGAGUCCUCAGUGGAAGCUGAGAAGAGCAGAAGAGGAAGCCAAGCAAGAGAUGCCAGAAAAAAAGGGGGAAGGAAAUAAUGUGUUAUUUUACUGUUUGAGUAUAGGCAGGCGCAGUGGGUAGCACAAUCGCCUCACAGCAAGAAGGUCGCUGGUUCGAGCCUCGGCUGGGUCAGUUGGCAUUUCUGUGUGGAGUUUGCAUGUUCUCCCCAUGUUAGCGUGGGUUUCCUCCGGGUGCUCCCACAAGUCCAAAAAUAUGUGGUGACAUUGGGUAAGGUAAAAUUGUCCGUAGUGUAUGUGUGUGAAUGAGUGUGUAUGGAUGUUUCCCAGUGAUGGGUUGCAGCUGGGUGGCAACACGGUGGCACAGUAGGUAGUGCUGUUUCCUCACAUCAAGAUGGUUUCUGCAUGGAGUUCUCCCUGCGUUCGCGUGGGUUUCCUCCGGGUGCUCCGGUUUCCCUCACAGUCCAAAGACAUGCGGUACAGGUGAAUUGGGUAGGCUAAAUUGUCCGUAGUGAAUGUGUGUGAGUGGGUGUGUAUGGAUGUUUCCCAGAGAUGGGUUGCAGCUGGAAGGGCAUCCACUGCGUAAAACAUAUGCUGGAUAAGAUGGUGGUUUAUUCCACUGUGGCGACCCCAGAUUAACAAAAGGACAAAGCCGAAGAGAAAAUGAAUGAGUAUAGGCAAUGAUAGACAAGACAAUGUUUGAUUAAUAUGAAGUCUUUUAAAAUGCUUAUUUAUUAAAAUAAAGGUUACAAAGUAAAGAAGAAA